CAAAAAAAAAAAUAUUCGGGGUGGGUCACGAAACAGAUUGAAAUUCAAAUUCUCUUUGCUAUCGUUUGAAUCGGAGCUGUUUCACUAGCUCUUUUGGUGCUGCCUCGGGUCGCUGUCGUUGUGAAGGGGGAUUCUGGUUUUUGGGAGAAGCGGGGAGAGCUUUCUGUGCUUUUAAAAGUCCUCCGAAACCUGCGGGCUGCUCCCCUUUGCUGGUGGUUUGGGCCGGGGGAAGGACCAACGGCGCGGUGCAGGUCGGGCAGGCGAGGUGCUGGGCUAGGGCUAGCGCCUGCUUACCGCCUGCUGCCAGCAGCUGCCGCUUAGAGAACAAAACGGUCUCGGGGCUUUCAAAGCCCGGGGGAAAGCCCCCACCAGAAAAACCCGGCCGGAACAGCCUGCCGUGGAGUUGUUCCUUCUCUCCGCUUGAACGGUGGAAAUUCCCUCUUCCCCGGAGAGCGGCCGGAGAAGACUUGCGGGAGACGCUGUGUCCGGGGACACCGGCAGGCAGAGGCCGAGCGCGCACGCCAUCCCUUCCCAUUUCCCGGGGAGUUGACCGCGUUUGGAAACCCUCGCUGCCCGGCCGUCCUGCGAGGAGGGGGCAGAUGGGCGCUGCUUCCGCCGCGCGUCUCCUGGCGGAAGAUGCGCUGAAGCAGGAGCGUCGGCAGACCAUGGCUGGCUGCGACCUUUGCCUGGGCUCUCGUGGAGGCCCGCGCGCGACCGCGUUACCAUGGUGA
rnacentral:lncRNA from 1 species